UACGUAGGGUGCGAGCGUUGUCCGGAAUUACUGGGCGUAAAGAGCUCGUAGGUGGUUUGUCGCGUUGUCCGUGAAAACUCACAGCUUAACUGUGGGCGUGCGGGCGAUACGGGCAGACUGGAGUACUGCAGGGGAGACUGGAAUUCCUGGUGUAGCGGUGAAAUGCGUAGAUAUCGGGAGGAACACCUGUGGCGAAGGCGGCCCCCUGGUUGGAUACUGACGCUGAUACGCGAAAGCGUGGGGA
rnacentral:rRNA from 1 species